CCUACGGGUGGCAGCAGUCGAGAAUCAUUCACAAUGGGGGAAACCCUGAUGGUGCGACGCCGCGUGGGGGAAUGAAGGUCUUCGGAUUGUAAACCCCUGUCAUGUGGGAGCAAAUUAAAAAGAUAGUACCACAAGAGGAAGAGACGGCUAACUCUGUGCCAGCAGCCGCGGUAAUACAGAGGUCUCAAGCGUUGUUCGGAAUCACUGGGCGUAAAGCGUGCGUAGGCUGUUUCGUAAGUCGUGUGUGAAAGGCGCGGGCUCAACCCGCGGACGGCACAUGAUACUGCGAGACUAGAGUAGUGGAGGGGGAACCGGAAUUCGCGGUGUAGCAGUGAAAUGCGUAGAUAUCGAGAGGAACACUCGUGGCGAAGGCGGGUUCCUGGACAUUAACUGACGCUGAGGCACGAAGGCCAGGGGAGCGAAAGGGAUUAGAUACCCCGGUAGUC
rnacentral:rRNA from 1 species